GAACGGAACCAGUUAAGAGGCCCCAAAAGGGGAAACAAGAUUUUUUUUAAACGUCAUUAUUUCAAUUUAACUUAUCGUAAAUGGAAGAUUGUUUUACAAAUUUUGCUGUUUUAAUGAACUGUGUAUUACAUAAAAUAUGCUACUCAUUGCUCUAUAAGUCAAUACACGCUUCUUUCCCGAGAAAACCCAAAGUCACUAGUUGUUUUAUGAUGUUUGAUUGACACUGAAAAUAUAAAGUUGAGGUUUAAACCAAACUCAAUUAAUCUGUGUGUGUAACGUCGAUGAAAAUUACUUAAGUAAUCUUUCUUCUGAAUAGAUUUCUUCUGGUUCCGUUCCGUUCCGCUAAAUACCAUUACCCGUGUGGAUAUUGGUAUUUAACGGAACGGAACGGAAUCUUUCAAACUUUUUAAAUAAAGGGAAACAUCAUAACAACUACUAGCUGUUUGUUUAUUUCUAUGUUCUUUUGAGAUAAAUGAAGCAAAUCAUUUCAUCAAUUCAAACAUCUUGCAUAUGUGCAUAUCACUCCUGUGUUGUGUACAGCUAUAACUUUUAUUUCAUCUAUGAUACUACAUUGAUUACACGGAUGAUAUUACUAGUUUGUUCAUCAAGCUAGCAAUAACGCAAUGUGUAUGCCAUAUAACGUAGAAUUCUAAAAUAUAACGAGCACAUUCGCAAGGAAAAAGUUUAAUAUUCAUCACUUACCUUCCGUCUGAACAAUUUUCUUCUGGUUCCGUUCCGUUCCGCUAAAUACCAUUACCCGUGUGGAUAUUGGUAUUUAACGGAACGGAACGGAACCGUUUAAAAAUUUUGAAAUAUAAAAUAUAUCAUAACAACU
rnacentral:sRNA from 1 species